rnacentral:rRNA from 1 species
AUCAUAUAAUUAAGCAGAGGAAUAAACUGAAUAGGAUUCUUUGAGUAAUGGCGAAUGAACCAGGAACAGCUCAACUUGCAAACCUGAAUCAUUGAUUCGGGAUUGUGCCUUCGGGGAAUGUUGCCAAUGGCAAUGCACAUGUUCAUCUUUUGGGACAAGGUUGCAAUGAAGGUGGAACCCCUGGCCUGCGUGUGCAAUUUUCAUGUGAGGCAUGUUUCUCAGAGUCGCUUUCCUUGGACAUGUAGUGUUAAGUGGGUGGUAUACUGCAUCCAAAAUUAAAUGUGUGUUUGAGAUUGAUAGCUGACAAGUACCGUGCGGGAAAUGUGAAAAGAACUUUGAGAAGAAGGUUACAAGUACCUGAAGCAGCUGAAAUGUAAUUAGAUGAUGGGUGUCUGCUGCGUGUGAUUGCUGUGCUCGCAUGGCUUGCAUGAGCUGUGCUCUCGCGUGGGUGCUGCUCAGCUUGUCGGGGGCCAGUGUGCCGCGCGUAGCAACAAGGGGCCAAUGGGGUUGACCGCCAUAUGUGUCUUUGCAGCUGUUUUUUGCAAAUGUGUGUGCGCAUUUCUGACAACCAUAUUGGCCAGCAUUGCUUAGCUGUGGUUUUGUUUGGCUUACUGAACAGACUGAAUUAUGCUAAGUGCAUCCCUUGCAAAACCUCAUCAUGUGCCCCGUCUUGAAACACGGACCAAGGAGUUUAGUGCAUGUGCAAGCUCAUGGGAUGUGGCUGCUGGUGAAAUGAAGGUGAUGCUUGAUAUGUGUACAUCAACAACCAAAUGCUGAUUUGUGUGAAUUUUGAGUAUGAGCAUUUGCAGUAGGACCCGAAAGAUGGUGAACUAUACCUGUGAAAAAACAAUCCAGGGGAAACUCUGGUGGAGGCUUGCAAUGAUACUGACGUGCAAAUCGU